CAAGGUACUGUAGACUACAUCAUUUAUCAGAGCACCAACAAGGUACUGUAGACUACACCAGUCAGCACAGAGCAUCAACAAGGUACUGUAGACUACACCAGUCAGCACAGAGCACCAACAAGGUACUGUAGACUACACCAGUCAGCACAGAGCAUCAACAAGGUACUGUAGACUACAUCAUUUAUCAGAGCACCAACAAGGUACUGUACACUACAUCAGUCAGCACAGAGCAUCAACAAGGUACUGUAGACUACACCAGUCAGCACAGAGCACCAACAAGGUACUGUAGACAACACCAGUCAGCACAGAGUACCAACAAGGUACUGUAGACUACACCAGUCAGCACAGAGCAUCAACAAGGUACUGUACACUACAUCAGUCAGCACAGAGCAUCAACAAGGUACUGUACACUACAUCAGUCAGCACAGAGCAUCAACAAGGUACUGUAGACUACAUCAGUCAGCACAGAGCAUCAACAAGGCACUGUACACUACAUCUGUCAUCAAAGCACCAACAAAGUACACUACACUAGUCAGCUAGAGACGGGAAACCAAGUCUGCACCCGGGUCCACAGAACUGGCCAAGGCACAUACAAUGUAGUUUGUGAAAGCAAUGGUACGCAGAGUAUUGACGAGAUCGAUGUUUGACAGUAAAGAGCACAAAUGAGGUGGGAAAGAGUUAUGAAACUGCAUAAUCCACCCAUUGAAUAACGAGAAAUGUUUUGAUGUAUGGAACCACAAAGAGAACCAAUGAUGUUGUCUGCAGCAACACACACUACCUCUUACAUUGCGUUGGUAACUGAACAGAGUACAAACCACAAACAGUACACACUGAGGCAGAGAUGAGAGGCUGAACGUUCAGCAACCACAGUCAUGAUAGGUAGCUCAACAGGGAGCUCACAUGCAUUUCAUGUUUAUGUGCUCCUCUGCUAUGAAUAGCUUUGUA